UGACGGCAAUAACAACAUUUUGCCACUGUAUAUUCCCUAAAAAAGUCUGCAAGUAGCCUCUUUAUAUUCCUUGCUCUUGACAAAGGCAAAGAAACGGAGAAAACUCUAAAUUGGUCUUCUUUUUCCAAGGUUGCUUGAAAUGACUGCCUUCAGGAUUUUAGACAUACUGAAUGGCAACCAUCAGCUUAAUAUUAACAAACACUGAUGAUAAAGCCUGCCAACUUUUGGUUCAGGAAAUCAGAGAUCAAAAUACUGAAAGUGUUCAAAGAGAAACUGGGAGAGAUCUAAUUAAGAAAGAAACUAGAAAGGACCUGUCUCCAGUCUGCAUAGCAAUCCAGAAUGGCAGAAGUGCAUAGCAAGUCAUUUGUAGAGUUUUAUAAGCACCAUGAUAAACCUGCACUUGACAGUGGUUGCAUUAAGUGGAGACUGAGAACCAUCAUACUGUCCAAGCUAAAAACUCAAGUAUGGGAGGAAUUACAUGUUGGACAUCUCAGAUACAAGCAGUAAAAGCACUAGCUCAUAGUUUUGUUCAAUGGCUGAUAAUAGACUACAAAUCAAACAACUUGGGAUAAUUUGUUCAGGUUGACAACAAGUUCAAAAAUGCCCCAAAACAGCACCAUCUCUCCCAUGGGAAUGACCUGCUUUGCCAUGGCAAAUAUUUCAUAGACACUUUGAAGAACCAUUUAU